rnacentral:misc_RNA from 1 species
GAAAUGCGAUACGUAAUGUGAAUUGCAGAAUUCAGUGAAUCAUCGAAUCUUUGAACGCAUAUUGCGCUCUUUGGUAUUCCGAAGAGCAUGCUUGUUUGAGUAUCAGUAAACACCUCAAAACUCUUGGUUUUUUCCAUGAGUUUUGGACUUGAGCAAACCCAACGCCUUCUCUCACGAUUUGGCGGCGGGUUGCUUGAAAUGCAGGUGCAGCUGGACAUUCUCCUGAGCUAAAAGCAUAUUUAUUUAGUCCCGUCAAACGGAUUAUUACUUUUGCUGCAGCUAACAUAAAGGGAGUUUUGACCGUAUUGGCUGACUGAUGCAGGAUUUCACAGAGUCGGAAACGAUUCUGUCAAACUCGAUCUCAAAUCAAGUAAGACUACCCGCUGAACUUAA